AAUGACUCUCGGCAACGGAUAUCUCGGCUCUCGCAUCGAUGAAGAACGUAGCGAAAUGCGAUACUUGGUGUGAAUUGCAGAAUCCCGUGAACCAUCGAGUUUUUGAACGCAAGUUGCGCCCGAAGCCUUUUGGCCAGGGCACGUCUGCCUGGGCGUCACGC
rnacentral:rRNA from 1 species